rfam:Hordeum vulgare subsp. vulgare, WGS project CAJW01000000 data, contig: morex_contig_184589
GGCAUACUCCCUUGGUCCGGAAAUACUUGUCGGCGAAAUGGAUGUAUAUAGAUGUAUUUUAGUUCUGGAUACAUCCAUUCUUAUCAAUUUUUGCGAUAAGUAAUUCCGGACUGGGGGAGUAUAAA